rnacentral:rRNA from 1 species
GACUAACGCUGGCGGCGUGCUUAACACGUGCGAGUCGAACGGAAAGGCCCUGCUUUUGUGGGGUGCUCGAGUGGCGAACGGGUGAGUAACACGUGAGUAACCUGCCCUUGACUUUGGGAUAACUUCAGGAAACUGGGGCUAAUACCGGAUAGGAGCUCCUGCUGCAUGGUGGGGGUUGGAAAGUUUCGGCGGUUGGGGAUGGACUCGCGGCUUAUCAGCUUGUUGGUGGGGUAGUGGCUUACCAAGGCUUUGACGGGUAGCCGGCCUGAGAGGGUGACCGGCCACAUUGGGACUGAGAUACGGCCCAGACUCCUACGGGAGGCAGCAGUGGGGAAUAUUGCACAAUGGGCGGAAGCCUGAUGCAGCAACGCCGCGUGCGGGAUGACGGCCUUCGGGUUGUAAACCGCUUUCGCCUGUGACGAAGCGUGAGUGACGGUAAUGGGUAAAGAAGCACCGGCUAACUACGUG